UGCCGGGCCUUCCCGUUCUGAUCUCUUGGAUCAGAACUCGGAACGAAGGAGGAACUGCCUGCCCCGGACUGUUGUGAGGACAAAACAGAUGCACGAAGGCGACAACUGUCAUUGAUUUGCUCACCGUGUUGCACCUCGGUGGGGCCCAGAACAAGGGCAUGUACCUGCCCCAGGUAGUGCCGGCUGAGGUGAAUGAACGGGGCUGUGUGUUUCCAAGAUGGCGCACUCACUUACCUGGCAGGUUGGUGCCAUUGGCAGAAACGCAGCUGGAACGAGGGUCCUAGAUCCUGAGUUGUCUUCCAUUUGGACUUUCCAUGUGGCUUCUUGGACUUCCUCACAGCAUGCCUGCUGGGUUCUAAGAGAGAAGCAGCAGAAACUACCAGUCUUCUUAAAGGCCAGGCCCGGGACUCACUGGUACAACACAACUUCCACCAUAUUCAACUUGUCAAAGCAGUGACAGACCAGCCCAGACUCAAGGAGGUGAAGAAAUAGACUUGGCCUCUCCAAGAGAAUGGCCUGUGCACAGAAGGAAGGAAAGAAUGAAUGGGAACCGUCUUUUGAGACAAGUUACCACCAGACGGCCUUUGUGACCCCCAUCUUGUCUACAGAGGAGAUGCUCAACAGAUAUUUCACAUCUCCUGAACUCUUAAGGCCUGUAACGUUCAUGUGUCAUACAACCGCUUGGAUGGCUGUCCUCAGUUGUAAGCUGACUUUUCCCUUGCGCUGAUUGGGUAUUCCCACCAAACGGUAAGCUCUUUGAGGGCAAGGCUCCUAGCUGCAAGAUGCAUUUUUGUAUUCCCCCCACAGAGAUUUACACAGAGCAAGCCCCACAAAUGUGUAGCGCUUGAUUUAUUUUCUUCUGACAGCCCCACCACUGGGAAGGGAACACAAGAGUUGCUUUCAUUGAAUUUCCGUACCACGCGAGGCUUGCUGGGCUCCUGGGAAAACUCAGAAACAGUCCCUUUGUUCUCCAGCUCUGCCCAGAGCGGGGGCCCAGAGCCCUCCAGCGGGGGAAGGCAGUGGAGAGGCCGCAGACGGGAGGACGUGCGGAGGAAAUUCCAUUCUAGACCCUCAUUUCCGAAACUGCUCUGUGAUUAGCCCUGCUUUGCACUGGGCCCCAGUCCAGAGGCAGAGAGAAGCCAGGCCCCAGGUCAUAAAAGCACAGGCAAAAUAUAAACGCAGGCCCCCGUGACACCCCUGAACAGGAGGGUAAAGAUUUGCUGUGGUGUUUGUUUAUCUCACCAACUGAAGCCAAUUAUCCCAAUUUUUUUUUUCAAGUUUACUAGUGAUUGUAUUUUAAGUUCAUUUCUUCUCAAAAAUGGGCCUCUACAACACAGUUUUUUUCUUUGUUUCCAAGGACUCAAGCCCAGUCUCUGAGGCAGGGAGGGUGGCCCUGAGGUCACAUGUCAGGGGUCAGGGGCCCCUGAUUGUUCCCAAAUGCUUCUAUGUAGCCAUAGAUUUGAACUUUGCAUUGUUGCUGGGGCCCUGGGUGGGGGGGCCUGCACAGGGACUGGAGAGCCCGGGGAAGGCCUUCUCUGCAGCUCAAAGGCAGCCGCUUGAGCAACCGUUUCACUUGGCUUACGGUUUCAGUCCUUGAGUCAGUCUUGAACCCUGUCCCCAGGGGCUUCCAUGGGUGGGAGAUGGGGGGGUGCGGCUAGGGACAGACAUUCAUUUCAUCCAAAGCCACCAGCCUUGCGGACUGACAGUGGCUUCAAAGCCAGAAAACUCUCAGGAUUAGCAUCCAAGGCUGAAAAUUCCCUGGAUUGCUUCUGGAAGCCCCAAAUUUGCCCAGAAUGCUGGUAAAGGAUGCUCCUUGCCCGGAACCAACCAAGAGUUCCCCACCACCCAACCCACUCAGAACUCUGUAAAGCACAGCUGAAUGCAGGGCACUGGGGUACAGAGAUGAACCCCAAGCUCUGGCCCCACCCAAGGGUACUGUUUGCCUGAUAGUGAGGGCUGAAGGGGAGGCAAAAGGUCCCAGACCACCCCUCAAAGCAACCGACUCGACUGGUACCUGAAAAUCUGCCGCAAAUAUGACCUGCAUUUAUAUUUAUUGACAUCAGGGUAUGUUAAAAUAUAUUGUUAAAUGCAAAAAGCAAGCUACAGAGUAACAUAUAGUGUACAUCCCCAUCUACACACACAUGAUGCACACACACACACACACACACGGAAAAUAUGGGAGAAUAUACAUCAAAAUGUUGAAAGUAAUAUCCCUGACUGGUAGGAUUUCAAGUGAUUUUUUUCCUUUGAUUUGUCUGCAUUUUAGAAUUUACUUACGCUAGACAUAUUCCUUAGGUCAUUUUUUUCAAAGAGAAAAAUCUACCAUUGGUGAAUCAUUUCUAUAGUUCGGUGUUUUUCAAAAUGUAAUUUAAAAACACCAACAUCAGGCUGGGAAAGCUUGCUGAACAAGAGGAUCCCUGAGGGUGACUCAGAACGAUUAAGUCAGAAUCUGGGGGUUGGGGAGUGGGGGGAGGGCAGCCUGAAAAAACUGCACUCUAAACACCCUCCCCAGGCAAUUCCAAGGGAAUGUCGGGCCCCUGUGUGAUGUUUGCUCUCUUCAAAGGUCUGGCUCCGCUGUGAGACAUCUCUGGCGGGACCACUCAGUCCCUCGGUGCUGGGCCUGCUAUUCUUGAGGACCGUCUCCCCUCAGGACCUCCUUUCUCUAGGUCCCCAGGAGCCAGAAACCGCCUAUCAACCCGGACAGCAUAGCCCUGGCUCCACCCCUUCGCUCCACAAACAGCCCACAGGCAUUGCUGCGCAGUGUUCCUUCCCUUCCCAGGGCCCUAUUCUCUUCUGCUUCACCAUACUUUUUUGGCUAGACGGACUGACUGCACAGGUUGAUUUGCAUAAUUAUAUACGUCAAGUAAGACUAAAGCUGUAAACCAAAUUAAGUCAUGCCAGCGGGCAGCAGGCACAGUAGAAGAAUCACAGGUUAAGUCCGACCCUGCUCCUUGCUAGACAUGAGAUCCCAGGUUCUUUAAGCUCUCAGAGCCUCAGUUUCCCCAACUGUACAAUGGGGAUAGUCAUACCUACCUCUUAAGAGUUGUUGUUGCAAGACUUAAAACUAAGAUCACGCAUAUAGGCAAAGCAUGUAGCAGAUGGUAGGUACCCGAUAAAAGUCACUAUUAUCAAUCUGAACCAAAGAACUCAAGAAGUCUGAGACAGCCGUUCUCAAACUCCCCAAGGAGUGCAGUAAUAAUGCACAGUAUUAAGUCUUCCCCUCAGAUACUCCAAAUUAGUCCCUCCAAGAUGAGGCCCCAGGAAACUGAUACUUACAGGUACCCCAGGUGACUGAUCACACAUGGCAGGUGGUCCCUGAUCACACUUCCAGGAACACUAGUCUAAGACUUUCAUCAGCAAAACAGAAGCAACUGCAAUUACUGAAUUCCCCUACUUAGGCAGUUCACACUUAAGCAGUCAGUCAUCCACCCUGCCCAUCACAGGCUGGCUGAGGUCUGGCUAAUCUAAGCUGCUCCUGGCUGGCAUGGUUCCAAGCUGAGAUCUGGGUCCCGGUCUGCUCCAUAUGUCUUUUAUCUUUCUUGGACCAGCAGGUACCCAAAUGUCAGGCCACAUUUGCUAACAUCCCAUCGGCCAAACAAGCACGUGGCCACACCCAACAUCAGUGUGGGAAGGGACAGAUAUAAUAUUCUGCCUCAGAGACACGAGUGAAAAAUAAACACUUAUUUCUCUAAACCUGAUUGGUCUGCAGUCUCUUUCUCUACUGUCCAUAAGCUAAGAAUGGCUUUUACAUUAUUUAGGAGUUGUCAAGAAAAACAAAAUAAAUAGGAACAGAAACCCUUUGUGGUCCACGAAGCUUAAAAUAUUUACUACCUGGCGCUUUAAGGAAAAAGCUUGUUGAUCUCGGCUGUAAGCCACCAAAAUGUCAAGGGUUUUGUUGUUGUUACACAGCAUAACUGCACAAACAGAUGAGAGCAAUUUCGUAUUUUUGUUUUGUGUUUGUUUUUAAGUUAAGAAGGAUUUAAAGAUGUUUCAAAGCCACAGAGCAGGAACCAUGGAGAAGGAGAGGGGACACCACUGAAAAAAAAACAAGAAAGGGAAGUUACUUAAAGGAGAGUGGCCUUGGAGGAGAAGGGACAGUUUUUCCUCUAAGGCUAGUGAUCCUUUUCUCUAAGGAUCGGGUCCAGUGGAGAAGAGGGUGGGGUGGGACGGCUGGGAUCAGCUGUGAUGCGCUUGUCAAGGAGAAAGAGAGGACAAGGCAGGAUUGUCCGCGGGCAGGAAUACGCAGCUAUGGGGUAUCAGGAAAAAUCGUCAGGCUCAGAAAUGCGCACAAAAGAAUCCUGGUGUCCUGGUAGUAGAGCGCUGGGGGUUUCUAGCAGACCUUCCAGGAAUUCUCUGACUCCACUGAGUGCGCACCUUGGAUUGUUUUUGAUCAACUAAGCAAUUUAACAACUCUGUAGCGAUAGAAGUUAGGUUGCAGGAAACUGACAACACAGUUUUUUUUCUGUCCAUAAAAACACACAGAUUCCUGUUAAUGCAAAUUCAAAGGAAUUGUGCCCCGAGGAGAAUAAAAAUCUCUGUUAAGUCAAACUCUCA